CAUAGUAUGAAAGAAAUUUUAGAAGCUCAUAAAGGACCACUUACUGGUGAAGGUCACAAGGGUCUAU
rnacentral:tRNA from 1 species